AGAGUAAAAUAGUACGUGAAAUUGCUAAAAGGGAAACGAUUGAAAUCAGUGUUAUGCCUGGGAAAUCAGUCGCCAGUAUCUGGCGGUGCACUUUUCUAGGCGUAAGUCAACAUCAGUUUGGGGACAUGGAAAAAAUUUCAGGAAGGUAGCUGGCUUUCGGGCCAGUGUUAUAGCCUGGAAUUAUGCAUGGACCUGGACUGAGGACUGCAGUGCUUUCUUGGGACUUCUCGUGUUUUUUAGGCAUUGAAGUGUAUUCUGCAUGCAGAGUGCGUUUCUCUGUCUGGCUAAUGCGGGUUUGUUCACACCAGCGCUUAGGACGUUGACGAAAUGGUUUUAAACGACC
rnacentral:rRNA from 1 species